GUGGGGAAUAUUGCACAAUGGGGGAAACCCUGAUGCAGCGACGCCGCGUGGAGGAAGAAGGUCUUCGGAUUGUAAACUCCUGUUGUUGAGGAAGAUAAUGACGGUACUCAACAAGGAAGUGACGGCUAACUACGUGCCAGCAGCCGCGGUAAAACGUAGGUCACAAGCGUUGUCCGGAAUUACUGGGUGUAAAGGGAGCGCAGGCGGGAAGACAAGUUGGAAGUGAAAUCUAUGGGCUCAACCCAUAAACUGCUUUCAAAACUGUUUUUCUUGAGUAGUGCAGAGGUAGGCGGAAUUCCCGGUGUAGCGGUGGAAUGCGUAGAUAUCGGGAGGAACACCAGUGGCGAAGGCGGCCUACUGGGCACCAACUGACGCUGAGGCUCGAAAGUGUGGGUAGCAAACAGGAUUAGAUACCCUAGUAGUCC
rnacentral:rRNA from 1 species